rfam:Saprolegnia parasitica CBS 223.65 unplaced genomic scaffold supercont2.77, whole genome shotgun sequence.
GGGGGUAUAGCGCAGUGGUAGCGCGUCCGCUUUGCAUGCGGAAGGCCCCGGGUUCGACCCCCGGUUCCUCCA